rnacentral:rRNA from 1 species
UGGGGAAUCUUGGGCAAUGGGCGCAAGCCUGACCCAGCGACGCCGCGUGGGGGAUGAAGGCCCUCGGGUUGUAAACCCCUUUCAGCGGGGACGAAGCGAAAGUGACGGUACCCGCAGAAGAAGCCCCGGCUAACUACGUGCCAGCAGCCGCGGUAAGACGUAGGGGGCGAGCGUUGUCCGGAUUUAUUGGGCGUAAAGCGCGCGCAGGCGGCCCGUUAAGUCGGUUGUGAAAACCCGAGGCUCAACCUCGGGCCUGCAUCCGAUACUGGCGGGCUUGAGGCAGGUAGGGGAGAGCGGAAUUCCCGGUGUAGCGGUGAAAUGCGCAGAUAUCGGGAGGAACACCGGUGGCGAAGGCGGCUCUCUGGGCCUGUCCUGACGCUCAGGCGCGAAAGCUGGGGGAGCAAACAGG